rnacentral:rRNA from 1 species
AUUGAACGCUGGCGGCAUGCUUUACACAUGCAAGUCGAACGGCAGCGCGGGCUUCGGCCUGGCGGCGAGUGGCGCACGGGUGAGUAAUACAUCGGAACGUGCCCAGUAGUGGGGGAUAGCUCGGCGAAAGCCGGAUUAAUACCGCAUACGACCUGAGGGUGAAAGCGGGGGAUCUUCGGACCUCGCGCUAUUGGAGCGGCCGAUGGCAGAUUAGCUAGUUGGUGGGGUAAAGGCCUACCAAGGCGACGAUCUGUAGCUGGUCUGAGAGGACGACCAGCCACACUGGGACUGAGACACGGCCCAGACUCCUACGGGAGGCAGCAGUGGGGAAUUUUGGACAAUGGGCGAAAGCCUGAUCCAGCAAUGCCGCGUGUGUGAUGAAGGCCUUCGGGUUGUAAAGCACUUUUGGCGGGAACGAAAAGGACUGUGCCAAUACCACGGUUCGAUGACGGUACCCGCAGAAUAAGCACCGGCUAACUACGUG